rnacentral:tRNA from 1 species
CGGGAUAGCCCAGCUUGAAGAGCAGAGGACUGAA